AGUUACUCAGCCAUCAGGGACCCCUGAGCCUCUUGGCUUAGCUUGUCAGGUGUGGAGAGGUAGUUCGGCAUGAUGGCUAUGGUCAUGGUAAAGGUGUCUGAAUGGACAGCAGCUAUCAUCUACCCUACUGAGGAACUAACUUCCAAGUGCAGUGUGGGCAAGAAGACCUACAAAUACCCAAG
rnacentral:lncRNA from 1 species